UUGAAUCCUUAGGAUGUCGCUGGCCUUUGGUAACAAAGGCAUGUGCACUCCGCCUUUCAAUCCACCUGUGCACUUAUUGUAGGUUGUAAAGGGGAAACUCUUUCAAUCUGCGUAUUUUUACACACACUAUAAUGUAUCAGAAUGUAACUUAGUAGACCUUUUGGUCGAAAACCUAAUA
rnacentral:misc_RNA from 1 species